rnacentral:rRNA from 1 species
UUGAGAAGGGCUGUCCCUAGUACGAGAGGACCGGGACGGACGAACCUCUGGUGUGCCAGUUGUUCCGCCAGGAGCACGGCUGGUUAGCUACGUUCGGAAGGGAUAACCGCUGAAAGCAUCUAAGCGGGAAGCCUGCUUCAAGAUGAGGUUUCCAUCCCCGCAAGGGGGAGAGGCUCCCAGCUAGACCACUGGGUAGAUAGGCCGGAUGUGUAAGGCAGGACCAACGACUGCUGAAGCUGACCGGUACUAAUAAGCCGACAACUUGAUAACACACAA